GAUGAAGAAACGUAGCGAAAUGCGAUAAGUAAUGUGAAUUGCAGAAUUCAGUGAAUCAUCGAAUCUUUGAACGCACAUUGCGCCCGCCAGUAUUCUGGCGGGCAUGCCUGUCCGAGCGUCAUUUCAACCCUCGAACCCCUCCGGGGGGUCGGCGUUGGGGAUCGGCCCUUUCACCGGGUGCCGGCCCCUAAAUACAGUGGCGGUCUCGCCGCAGCCUCUCAUGCGCAGUAGUUUGCACACUCGCACCGGGAGCGCGGCGCGUCCACGUCCGUAAAACACCCCAACUUCUGAAAUGUUGACCUCGGAUCAGGUAGGAAUACCCGCUGAACUUAAGCAUAUCAAUAAGCGGAGGA
rnacentral:misc_RNA from 1 species